CAGAGAAUAGUUUAUUAAAAUAUUAAUUUUGGAGAUUAAAGAUGAGGGUUUCCUUUUCUCUGA
rnacentral:tRNA from 1 species